rnacentral:rRNA from 1 species
GAUUUUAAAAAUACACAGUUCCCUGAACGUGCCCAAUCUCGUCUGAUCUCGGAAGCUAAGCAGGGUCGGGCCUGGCUGGUACUUGGAUGGGAGACCACCUAGGAAGACCAGGUGCUGUAGGCA